CAACCAUGCCGGCACCGUGAUCUUCGACUUCCCAGCCUCCAGAACUCUGGUGGCUUCCAAGGUUGUGCUGGGGGCCCCUCUGUAUUCCAGCCAGCUGCAACGGGCAACAAGCAAAAAGCAUCAAGCCUGGGAGAUUUUACUGGACCAAGCCUGGCAGUGACACACAGCACUUCAACUCAUUCCAUUGGCUGGGACUCAGUCACAUGACCACUCCUAUCUUAAGGAGGCUGGGACCUGCGGUCUGGCCAAGUGCCCAAAAAGAACAGGAGAACAUGGAUUCACUGAAGGCUGGUUCCACGUGUGUUCCCAAUAUGGCCGCCCAUAGCAGUUUUGGCGACAUGAUUCAUUUUCACAUCCACAAAGGUGAGAGAGCACAUAAGAGUCCUGAUGGGCCAACUUAGUUUACACGACUGCCUCUGAACCAAUAACUGUCACCAAACGGACUGUCACGUGCUGUUUGGCUCAAACCUCAGUUACUGAACCAAAAACUGCCAAAAGGGGGACAAGAAAUUACUGACGUUGGUUUAGGUCAAUCAGGGCACCUUCCUUGAGUGGGAAUAGAAGAGAUAGAGCCAUGUCCCCCUGAAUUUCCCUGAGGGUGUUGGAUGCCCGAACAAAGUUUGGGUUCUGUUAGGAAGGAGGGAAAAGAGAACUAUCCGGAUAUGGAGGGGGCAACCAAAAGUGACAACCACAAGCUCUGAUCUACAUACAAUAAUGAAGAUUAAAAGAGGAAUAAUAAAAAAGGAAAUGUAUAUGAAUGAGCAGGAAAAAACAAAUGGACAAGAUAGAAUAAUAUUGCUACCGAGCGAUGGAAAUUUUGAACAUACCGAAACUGUGAAAUACCAUGUAUAGCGGCUCCUUUGUACCUCCUGCUCCUCCUGUUUGAAUGGCAGUGUCUCUAGCUGCUAUCCUUUGCCAGUCCCACCACUGUAUUUUCGGUACGAAGGCAGAUGACUUGUCCCAUUUGUUUCACAGGUCCAUAGAUGGAGAUGGGCUGUGCUCCAACUGUUGAACUUAAUUACCUGAGGAGGCUUAGCCUGGGAAGGACAUGUAUCAUAGGGGGUCAGAGGGUGGUAUAAAUGAUGCCUCUUCUGUACAUUGGAUAAGACUGUAACUUCCAUCUUGCUAGUGGACUCUCUCCCUUGCUGACUUUGACGAAAUGAGCUGCUAUAUGGAGAGGCCCAGGUAGCAGGGAAUUGAGAGUGGCCUCCAGCUGACAGCCAGCAAGGAGUGGAGGCCCUUAAUCUGACAACCUACAACAAACUGAAUCCCGCCAACAGCCACAUGAGCUUGGAAGCAAAUCCUUCUCCAGUCAAGCCUCAGAUGAGACCCUAGCCCCAGUGGACACUUUGACUGCAGCUUUGUGAAAGACCCUAAAACAGAGGGCCCAGGCAACCUGUGCCUAGAUUCCCAAGCCACAGAAACAGCGAGGUCCAGCCUUUGACAGGCGCUGCAGCUGCUGCGACUAACCCCUCCUCCCUCGUACCUUCUCUAAGUCUGGAACAGUCCUUGCUGGCACCUCUGCAGCUGUGACUCAUCGCAAAUACUUUGCAUUCCGGGAUGUUCUUCAGGGUUUGGGGUCUCCCCUGUGGCUUGAAGCAUUAGGCAAGUUGAAAGCAAGUUGAAAAAGAGGCCCCACAGCUGCCAAAACAUUACAAGGAUGAGGAGAAAAAUUAUUAGGAAAACUGAAAAGGUUUUGUGCCGCCAGGACCUCAGCCAGCCGCUCCCUGGCUUGGGCCUGCUGGUAACUUGAGCAGGGCUGGGGGACGCCGGUCGCCGUGGAGGCCGAGUCA